AGUAACGCGUGAGUAACCUGCCUUUCAGAGGGGGACAACAGUUGGAAACGACUGCUAAUACCGCAUAACGUAUCUGUAUCGCAUGGUAUGGAUACCAAAGAUUUAUCGCUGAGAGAUGGACUCGCGUCUGAUUAGCUAGUUGGUAGGGUAACGGCCUACCAAGGCGACGAUCAGUAGCCGGACUGAGAGGUUGGCCGGCCACAUUGGGACUGAGAUACGGCCCAGACUCCUACGGAAGGCAGCAG
rnacentral:rRNA from 1 species